rnacentral:tRNA from 1 species
UCUCUGGUGGUCCAGUGGCCAAGACUCUGCACUCCAAAUGCAGGGGGCCUGGGUUUGAUCCCUGGUCUGGGAA